CUGAACUGUCAACACGAGUUGUUGCUGGUCCUCAAAUGGGGGCAUGUGCACGCUCUGUUUACAUACCCACUCACACCUGUGCACCCUCUGUAGUUCUGUGGUGUGGGGGACUCUGUCCUCCCGCUGUGGUUCUAUGUUUUUACACACACACAGUCUCAUAGAAUGUAUGUCGCGUUUAACGCAAUACAAUAC
rnacentral:misc_RNA from 1 species